CUUAAAAUAUAAUUGUAGAUUCAUUAUUUACUAUUAUUUAAUUUAUGUAUUUAUUGGAAAAUAACUUUAUUCUUGCAUUAGCUUAGUUAUUUGCAAAAUAAUUGCAAAGAAACCUGUUAAUUGUAUCAUAAUCUAUCUGAUUGUUUUUUAGCCGACUCAAAAUCAUGCUGUUAAUUAGGGCCCCCUGUUGUACAUGUACUUAGGAAUCGGACACCUCCAGAAGAUGAAAGAUCUACUUUACAUCUUUUUCAACGAAAGUACAAUUACUUUGAGAAGUAGGAGAAGCUAAGCAACAGGACAGAAUUCAUUUGAGGCAUUGCUUUCUAGAUUAUAUAGUGGAGUCAUAGAUUGUCCUAUUGAUUUAUGUGCAUAUGAGGAGCAGUAGUCAAUGAAUAAUUUUGUGAUGAGAGCUGUACAUUGUAUUACAACAAAUGGACAGAGGAGUUGACUAUUGAUAGUGACUGAUAAUGGACUGGAGUAACCUAGGGUCCAAUGACUCCAUGCCUGACAGUCCAUGUGUACAUAAUCAGCUCCUCAGAUGUAAGUGGAAGGGAAGCUAUAUACAUUAUAUGUUUAAAUGAAAUUAACCACAGGAUUAGAUAUUGAGGAGAUCCUAUAGCUACAGUAUAUAUAAAUGUAACUGCAACUGUAUUACAAGAGUCUGAUGUCUGAUAAUGUAUUACAGGAUUUUAUCAUUCAAGCAACAUCUUAGAAGGAUAAGUGCAAAUGUAUGAAGGAAGCCUUGGGUACAAAUAGCAAUUCCAGCAAUUACAUGCAGGAGAGAACUCUUAAACAUUACUAACAGACAUGUAGUCAUUAUAUGGGAGUGGUGUAUUUAAGAAAUCUAAAACACAUGAAAUUAAAUAUUGUGUAUAUUAUUUCAACCACAAGUAC